GCGCCGGUGGUGUAAAGGUUAGCAUUGUUGCCUUCCAAGCAAUAGAUCCGGGUUCGAUUCCCGGCUGGCGCA
rnacentral:tRNA from 1 species